GAAGGAAGAAAGUAAAGAAGUACUUAUUUAUAGUUGCUUUCGCAGACCUUAGGUUUUAUAAAUACCAUUAAAGAACGCUUGCGUCCAAAAAACACGGGAAAUAGGAAAUCAAGAGAGUUUUGAAGCCACUCGCCGGAAGGUUUUAUAAUUCAAGAAGGCUUGCAGCCAAAAAACACGGGUUUUUGGAAAAAAAGUAAAUAAAGAAGUCAUUUCCUUAGGUUUUCUAAUUCAAGAACGCUUGCAGCCAAAAAACACGGGUUUUUGGAAAAAAAUCAAGUGUUGCAUCCACUCUAGGCUCUAUUAUUUAAUGGGCUUGCAUCCAAAAAACACGGGUUUUUGGAAAUAAAUCAAUCAAGUUUUUCAGCCACUCGCCGGAAGGUUUUAUAAUUCAAGAACGCUUGCAUCCAAAAAAGGUUUUCUUUUCUUAUAGCUUUUGACGUAAAAUUGCAAAAAAAUUCAUGCCACCUACCGGCAAAUUGAUCUCUUUUCUUGCUUUUACUAUGUAAAGUCUAGGCUUUUAUCUAUCUUUUUUUUUCUUUUUAUAUUGGUGAAAAAGAACUGCACUCUAGAAAAUCUUAUAAGGCCAGGGAAAGUACCAUCGCUUAAGUUUAAAGGCAAAAAACUAUAAAAAGCCACUAGCAAUAGUAAGUGCCAGUAGCCGACGCCCCCAAUCACUAGAGAAUGGUGCUAGCUAGUUAGUGCAUGGUGUGCAGCAACGAAGGGAAAGAGAGAGUUAGUGGGGGUUUUAGCUGCUUGUGUGAUUGGUUAACAUGCUAAUCAGUCAACAGUUCGAUCAGUCUACCGGUCAAUCAAGAUUGUUUGGAUCAGGGUGGGUUGAUAGCUUCUUUGGUCCCCCGAACCAAACCAAUACCCCCGUCGCAGUCCCAUUCACCCGUUGGUCUCCGGUUGAGAUGAGUCCUUCGGUCGGUUCUUCGCCGUUGAUACAUGGUUUCAUAAUGAAUUGACACGGGUUGAAAAAAUCCCUCUUUCAUAGGAGGCAACAAAACCGAUCCAUCAUUAUACGUGACCACUUAACUAGUUCAUGAUUCUAUGAGAAAAUAGGAGAUGAUCGAGUCAUUAGAUAGAAGGGGCCCACCCAUCGAGAGAUGAUUGGGGCGGAAUAGGCGGAUUCAUCAAAGGGCUAGAUUCAGGUCCCGGGAACACUGGUUGGAAACCAUUUCGAUCCGGAUGGCUAGGGUAAGUCUGACCUCCUACUAGAUAUUCGUAUGAUCAGACAUUCCCUCACUGGUUGGUAUAGAGAGAGGGAAUUUCUUCAACUAGAAGCCCGCCCCUUUAUUCUAUAUUAACAAAUAGGUUUAUCCUCCGACUUUUGUUCCCGUGUUUUGUGAGUAUCAAGAGGUAUAUACCUAAGUACAGAUGCUAUGGAAUCAACAUAGCUAGUUGGUUCAUAGAAAGAGAGUAUGUACUGAAAGAAAGGCCAAAAGCCCCCUCAAACUAAACUAUAGCCAGUAAGCCCUCCCUGAAGAGUUUUAGCUUCCUCCCCGCUAUUCCUGAUGGAAUUAAUUAGGAAUCGAUUCAAGGGGAGACCGGGCGCCUAAGAAAGAGCUCCUUUUUCGCCUAUAGCUUCGACUUCUACUUAGCAGCCCAAAUAAAGUACCCCUUUAACACACAAGUACGCUCACAAAAGCAAGUAAACAACCCUUAUCGAAUUGUAAGAUAUCUAAGGGUUAGCUCGGCUAAGCUAGAGUCACAGUUGUUGCUUAGGUAAACGGUAGCUCAGCUUUGCU
rnacentral:lncRNA from 1 species